rnacentral:sRNA from 1 species
AGUCUAUGGGUUAUAACGGUAACCACUUAACAUUAGGAUUUUUGUUAAACCGCCAUUCACUGUAACAAGUGACAUAGGUGGUCUU